AGCAAAGACCUCAGGGACUGUCUAUUGUCACCACCCUGAAGAACCUGGAUGGAUUUCAACCCCAAAUCUGGUUCACAUGCCGAGAUCAAUGCCCCUACAUAUGAAGAGGCACCUCAUGGAAACUACCUUAGAUGUCAAGAAACUUCUGUGUCCAGGCUGUGGCCUCCUCAUCGUGGAUCUGUUAGGAACGAAGGAUGCCUGGUGACGGCAGUCAGUUUCCAGACCUGAGACAGUUUUUGCUCAUGGAACCUGUCAACUGAAGGGGAGGCAGUCUCCUCAGGUGGAAG